rnacentral:snRNA from 1 species
GAGUGUUACAGCUCUUUUAGAAUUUUUCUAACAGGAGGUCUUCCAGU